AAAUCUCUUCACAGGCGCAUUGAAGAUAUCGAGAAGGCGAAGGUCUCAGAACAAGCGCAUCUGCCGGAGGAUGGUCGUGGAUGGGCUUCGCCUCGCCAGCUACGACGCAACCAUUUGCAAGUCUCAACGGCAUAAAGAUCCCUCUUUUCCUGCAAGGGAGUAUGAGUACGUCGACGUAGUGGUAGCGGCCGCCGGAGGCUGGCAGGUUCAUCUGAUGGACGCGGACUUCAAGUCGGAUUUCGAGGUGGCGUGGCCGAACAAGUCUGACGGCUCCGUCAUCCAAACCCCUCCUGUCGCUGUUCAUUGGCCGAUCCGAUAGGCUCCAGCGGAUCGUCGCUCUCGUGCCGGCCGCGGCAUGACCAAGCGCACCCCGUAGAAGCCCAAGAUGAGAGCAGCUCCGGCGGCGGCGGCAUUAUUCUCCGGCCGAUCUCUGCCUUCAAAGUUUCCAGCAAGUUCAAAGGCUCUGACGGGGAAGACGAGACCAAUUAUUAACAAAAGACCCCCCAACUUUCUUUAUUAUCUCACUCUCCCUCUUUAUUUUAUUGUGCCGUGGCAGUUUCACUAUAUUAUAAUAAAGGAACCGCACACUUCCCCUACUCCUACCACACCACCAAACCCUUUCUCUUUCCCACGCACUCCUUCAUCCCCUCCAUGCUUUAUGAGCCCCCCUCCUCUCCGCAUCUCCUCGCGCAAUCGCCAUGGCGGGUCAGGUCCCGCCGCCACCCCCGGAGGGGCUAGGUGAUGACUUCCUGGAGCAGAUCUUUGCCAUGCCCUCGUCCUACGGAACCGGGGACGAGGCUGCGCUCGCCGCCAGCAUGGCACGCUGCCGCAGCUCCGCCGAUGGACCAUCCGCUUCUGGUGGUGGCAUGGCGUUCCCUCUGGGGCUGAGCUUGGAGCAGGGUUCGUCUGUUGGGAAUCGGCUCCACGAGGGGAUCGACCGCAAGGCGGUGAGCGCGUCACUUUCUCCUAUUGUUUUGACCGGGUUUGAGCGUUCGACGAAACGAUGGGCGUGUCGAAUCCCAUGUCUUUUGCUUCAAGUUGAUCGUUUGUCGUUACCGAUGAGUUGGGAAUUAUCGGCGUCUCUGUGGAGCAGGAGAGAGAGUCGAUGCAGUUGGCAGGAUUGCUUUCGCCGGGUUUUGGCCAACUCCGCCCUCAUCAAGUCCAGCCAACUCCUCCUCCUCCGCAGGUGGUUGAUCUUCCAUGGUCAAGUGAAGCAAGGUGGAAUCACAGCAGCUCCACGACCGAAGGUGCGAGCAAGGCGUGGUCAAGCCUCAGACCCUCAUAGCAUUGCUGAGCGGAGAGAACGAAUAGCAGAAAGGCUAAGAGCUUUGCAAGAAUUGGUUCCCAACACAAAUAAGACUGAUAGAGCAGCAAUGCUUGAUGAGAUUCUAGACUAUGUUAAAUUUUUGAGGCUUCAAGUGAAGGUAAAUAUCUAUCAUUCCCCAUAAAAUUAAUCCUUCUAGUUGGUUUUAUGAAAGAAAAUACAUUGCUUGCCCUUGAAAAAGAUUCUUAGACAAUGACCUUGCACUCCCUUUUCUUUUAGAUUUGUGUACUGGCUCACCAGUUUUGUCCUUCUGAAAUAACAAACUUAAGUGUGCUCUUGUGGUUCCAAUUGCUUCAAGCAUUGUUUACAUUUAGGGGUAUUUAACAAUGCACGGUACUUUGGUAUCUCAUAUUCAUCUAAGAUCCAAAGAAAAAACACAAUGGAGAUGGACUACUAUAUUUUUUUUUUCUCAAUUGAUGACUGACAUGGAGAUCUUGACCUUCAUAACUUGAUGAAGGUUUAGACUGUAUUCCAUGGUACCUGAUAAGCCCCUAUUUUUUCUUGCCAUGUUUGUGUCUUGGUGAAGGUUAAGGCCAUUUUCAACGAUUUAGACUGGGCAUAUCUCAUUCGACCUAGGCACCUUUAUACAGGAAUGCAUUUCUGCAGUACGUUUGCUGUUAGGAAGCAACUCUCUCUCCUAAAUGGCUUGUGGAACAAGUUAUAUUUUUUGUUCACUACAUCUUUGUUUUAUUUUCACAAGCUCGAAUUCCUAGUUGCCUCAUGAUAAUUCUUGUGUUCAUAUAAUUACAUUCAGAAUCACUCUUUUUAAAUAUAUUGAUGGUUUGCUCUAAAUGGAAAGUUGGAAAUUUCAUUAUACAAAUGUGUUUAUCCACUGAAUCAUGUUCUAAGCAUGAGCAAACUAGGUGGUGCUGGUGCUGUUGCACAGCUGGUAGCUGAAAUCCCUGUGCCGAUGGAGGUGUCAUGAAGUGAUUGGAAUCACUGCAAAUCCAGGACUUUCAAGUUAAUUUAAGCAACAUGAAGAGCGACUAUGUUUGUGCUUCUUGAAUUGACUUUAAUGGUCCGCAUACACAGGCAUCUGUUUCCUUUGAAUUUUCUCAUACAUAUAAAUUUGUUGGAGAAUUCUGUUUGAAGUUUUCAGCUUCUGACUUAACUUCAAAGCACUUUUGUGACAACUGUAAUUGGAUUUCCAUGUUUCUCCAAAAUUGAUGUGAAGUACUUCCAAAUCAUAAUGUUCUCACACCAUAUUUGUUUUCUAAAGGUUUCUUAAUAUUUUCUAGACAUUCAUUAUGACUGCUUGAAUCUCAGUUUUCCAUGUCUAUCUUGUUCAGCUUCUAGGAAUCAAUUUCAUGCAAUUCCAUGGAAUUUAGUCAUAUUUCUAUCUGAUAACAUAGUGAAUUUGCUGUUUAAGGGUGAAACUAGUGCUGGCGGUAGCACACUACAUAUUUGGGAGAAAUGGUCGACCGAUGGCACAGAAAGGCAAGUUGCAAAGCUCAUGGAAGAAGAUAUCGGAGCUGCAAUGCAAUUCCUCCAGUCCAAAGCCCUCUGCAUUAUG